rnacentral:rRNA from 1 species
GUCCCUAUCCACUGCGGGCGCAGGAGGCUUGAGGGGAGCCGCUCCUAGUACGAGAGGACCGGAGUAGACGCACCUCUGGUGUACCGGUUGUCCUGCCAAGGGCACGCGCCGGGUAGCUAUGUGCGGACGGGAUAAGCGCUGAAAGCAUCUAAGCGCGAAGCCCACCCCAAGAUGAGGCCUCCCACCGGGUAACCGGGUAAGACCCCAGGAGGACUACCUGGUUGAUAGGCCGGAGGUGUAAGGGCCGCAAGGCCUUGAGCCUACCGGUACUAAUCGGUCGAGGGCUUGAAGG